rnacentral:lncRNA from 1 species
GGAGAAUCUGACUAAUGUCAGACAGAGGCAGUUGCAAGACUGAGAAUAUAACCUAGGCCCUGCCCUACUCACACUGUGGGUUAAUGUUGCCAAUUUAGCCAUAGGGAGGGCCUGACUUUGUGGUUGAAUGGAAAUGGAAACUCUUAAAGAGGCAAGAUGACGUGGCAUGUCAGUGACCAGAGAUCACAAGUGGGGCCAGUUUCCUUCCUUUUGGUCCAGAGUACUUGUCAAGCUCAUCCAAUCUUUAUGCAAACAACAGCAAAAGUGAGACUAGGAUUCAGACCAAGAUGAAGUCAGGUGAAGAUGAUGGAGCUGUGGCAGCUUGGAUGGUGCAUGCUCCUGCUGGGCUGCCUGGAUGCUCCACCUUCUGUGGCCCACACUGGAUACUGAUUGAAUGGGCAGGAAUCUUUG